AUUGAACGCUGGCGGCAGGCCUAACACAUGCAAGUCGAGCGGAGCGGCGGACGGGUGAGUAACGCGUAGGAAUCCGCCUGGUAGUGGGGGAUAACGUAUGGGAACGGGUGCUAAUAACGCCUAUUACCUCAUGAGCCUAGGUCGGAUUAGUUAGUUGGUGGGGUAAAGGCCUACAAAGGCGACGAUCCGUAACGGGUCUGAGAGGAUGAUCAGUCACACGGGAACUGAGACACGGCCCAGACUCCUACGGGAGGCAGCAGUGGGGAAUAUUGGACAAUGGGCGAAAGCCUGAUCCAGCCAUGCCGCGUGUAUGAAGAAGGCCUUCGGGUUGUAAAGUACUUUCAGUCGGGAGGCGUUACCGACAGAAGAAGCACCGGCUAACUCCGUGCCAGCAGCCGCGGUAAUUC
rnacentral:rRNA from 1 species